rnacentral:misc_RNA from 1 species
GGUGUAUUUAAUCGUGGUACACUUUUCUAUUUGAGCUUCGCAGCACCAUGAAUGUCUCACCAAGAGAAUCAAUUGUUUCAAGCGACACAGAAACAUUGCCCUUAUUUACCGAUAUAGAUGCCCUUUUAUAACCAACCACUACUGUAUACCCCAAGUCCAGUAAACCACCUAAAGUCAUCCGUCCAACCUCAAAUUCAGCUUUAGGUCUGAUAAUAAAAUUUUU